CCCAGUAAUCUUCACUCUGUUGGAAUUCUGACCCCAAGUAUUCCUAAGGAACAAGUAUAUAUUCUAUAUGUUUCUUUGCAGUUUACAUCAGUUAUGUUUUGUAAAGCAGAUAAAAUAAUGACAUAAUAUUUUAUCACAGAAAACCCAAACACAUAAUGGGUAAAAACCAUGACCUAUACCUCUAUAGGAUUUAACUCCACUUCAUUAAACUAUGAUUCUCAACAAAAGAUCACAAACCUAUGUAACCUAAGGAAUUACAUAUUGUAAUUCAUAGCUAUCCAAGACAAAAAAUCCAGGUUUAAGUCUUCUACCGUCCGUCAAGUUUCUCAAUCUUGUUAGACGAAUCCUACAGACACACUUGAUUGUAAUCAAAACUCUUAAUUACAAUAUUACAACUUUUUCCUUACAAACUCGCAACACUCCCCAAUAAAUCUCAAACUCUUUAUCUUGUUUUGAUCUUCUCUCUAUGUAAGUGCAUAAAAUUCUUCCAUGAACUAUUGCAAUAUUUAUAGGCUUUAAAACUCUCCUAAGUAUUGUUCAACAAAACUUAGUCUUCGUCGCUUUAAAUAAACUUUUUUAAACCGAACUUGACUCGAACUCCUUCUUGCAUUUUGCUUUGCAAGGAAAAACUUUGACGUAGUUUACCUUAACAGAGUAAGAAAACUUUAUAAAUCACUAACUCCUUCUUCUACUUGGUUUAAACUUCCUUUUCUACUUCGAUCUUGUAAGUUGACGUGGCAAGUUUCUACUUUUCUACUUUUUUCAUGCUCUUGUCUCCUUUUUUACUUCAGCUUCCUUGUUUGUCUAGUUUUCCUAUUUGCUUAAGAAAACUAUGUUGUCUGUCUACUACUUUAUAAAAGGAAGCAUUCUGUUCUAGUUUCUUGUCAAAAAAAUAAUACUUCCACAACUUUAUAACAUCUAAUUCGGUGGUUGACUUUCUCCUUAUCCCACUCGGAUUCGGUCUAAAAGGUACAUGUUGGAGCAACCAAUUCCUUUCAUCUAUUUCCCUAUUUGUCAACUAUCAAAAUCUUUCUCGUUCAAAUAUACUCAAAAUAAGAGGGGGUGAGGAAGUAUUCAAAAAGGAGAUAUUCUUUAGACGAGAUAUAAGAAAUAUUGGGGUUGCAGCAUGGAGUGAUACCUUAGGAAUCAUGCGCAUCUGAAGAACAAAAUAAACUCUAGAAUAAUAAGGGUGCUAAUUCCUCAAAAAUUUCCCUCCUCUUGAAAAAAAAGGAAACAAAGUCAAAUAUCUUAUUACCUUUAUUUUCCUUUUCCAGAAGAGGGAAAUUUUUGAGGAUUUGACCCCCUUAUGUUGGUACCUCAUUUGAUAUUAUCACUUAGUGCCUACAGGUAUUUAGAAAAGUUUUCCAUUACAAUUUUAUAUUUUAUUUCUCUCAAUUACAAAUCAAUCGGAAGUUGACAAUGAUGUUUUUAGAAUCUAACUACAAGGGGGCUAUGAGAAGGUAGCAAAAAACGCUUUAACGUAACACCAUUUGUUUAAAGGAACUCUCUCAAUGCUUUAUUUUUACAUUAAUUUUCCAAGCUUCUUGUCCAAUUGUUCCUGCAAUUAUCAGCACACAUUGUGUCAAACGCAGUGGAACAAUAUCUCAAGUACAUCACGAUCUUACAAUUCCGGUGUCUUCAUCAGCUUCAACGUCAAGUUAGGACAUCAAAACAUCCCUAUGAUUAUGCCACUACCUCAUUAAAUAUGUUUGACAAAAAUGUUAUUCAUUUUUUUUGGUAAAUAAAGGAUUUUCAUUUAUCAAAGUAAAGAGUCAUUACAGAGACUAAUCUAAAGUUAAUACUCACAUUCUAUCCUCUUUUUUGUUAUUUGUAUAAAAAAAAUUGUUGAUCUUAUACGACUAGACAAUGGGAAUCCGAU